rnacentral:rRNA from 1 species
AUACGGAGGGUGCAAGCGUUACUCGGAAUCACUGGGCGUAAAGCGCGCGCAGGCGGUCUUUUAAGUUGGAUGGGAAAGCCUACGGCUCAACCGUAGAACUGCAUCCAAAACUAUUAGACUAGAGUGUGGGAGAGGAAGAUGGAAUUAGUUGUGUAGGGGUAAAAUCCGUAGAGAUAACUAGGAAUACCAAAAGCGAAGGAAAUCUUCUGGAACACUACUGACGCUGAGGCGCGAAAGCGUGGGGAGCAAACAGGAUUAGAAACCCUAGUAGUCC